rnacentral:rRNA from 1 species
GAUGAACGCUAGCGGCAGGCCUAAUACAUGCAAGUCGAGGGGCAGCGCGGUAGCAAUACUGGCGGCGACCGGCGCACGGGUGCGUAACACGUAUGCAACCUACCUUCAACUGGAGGAUAGCCCGGGGAAACUCGGAUUAAUACUCCAUAACACAGGGAUCCCGCAUGGGAAUAUUGUUAAAGCUACGGCGGUUGAAGAUGGGCAUGCGUUCGAUUAGCUAGUUGGUGUAGGUAACGGCUCACCAAGGCUACGAUCGAUAGGGGGUCUGAGAGGAUGAUCCCCCACACUGGUACUGAGAUACGGACCAGACUCCUACGGGAGGCAGCAGUAGGGAAUAUUGGUCAAAUGGGCGCAAGCCUGAACCAGCCAUGCCGCGUGCAGGAAGAAGGCCCUCUGGGUUGUAAACUGCUUUUGAUAGGGACAAAUGCCACUUGCGAGUGGAGCUGAGUGUACCUAUAGAAUAAGCACCGGCUAAACUCCGUGCCAAGCAGCCGCGGUAAUC